rnacentral:rRNA from 1 species
UACAGAGGGUGCGAGCGUUGUUCGGAAUUAUUGGGCGUAAAGCGCUUGUAGGCGGCUUGUUAAGUUCCGUGUGAAAUCCCCAGGCUUAACCUGGGAAGUGCGCGGAAAACUGGCGAGCUUGAGUGCCGGAGAGGGUCGCGGAAUUCCUGGUGUAGAGGUGAAAUUCGUAGAUAUCAGGAGGAACAUCUGCGGCGAAGGCGGCUUCCUGGCACAUUACUGACGUUCAGGUACGAAAGCGUGGGUAGCAAACAGG